UCCUGUAUAGUAAAUGGAUUCUGGUUGAAACAAAAGAUGCAGCAGAUUAAUGAACGAAAACACCAAAUUGAACGGCAGCAUUGAGAAGAUCCUCAAGGGUUGCUCACGUCGGCGGAUCAAGCAGAAGUACAAAAUCAACAAUAAAGACGGUGCCGGGAAAGGCAGAAUUCCGCUCUACCCAGGUGAAGCAGUCAAGGUACUGAUGGAUUUGAAGUGAACACUGACUGUGAUUCCGAGCAGCUAGGGGUAGGCGACAUCAGAUCAGAUCAGAAUCCAUCACAGAUUAAGUCAUUUGCGACUAAGAACGACUGUCUAAACAACAACCAACAGUAAAUCUAACGGUACUCAUUGAACCAGUCCCCUCUGUACAGGGUGGUAUCCGAGGCUGCCUUAAAAAACAGCAACUUGAUAGCCAAGUUCAUCAUUCAAGUUCGCAACAACCAGAGAUUUUCUCUCAUCUUUAACAAAAUUCAUCUGCGACAAGGAGUAGGUGCAAAUCCCUCUCGUGAGCCUCGUUAUGGUUUAUUUAACUACUACCAAGAGCGACAUGAUAUGUUGGUUCCAAUCAGUACUAGAUUGAUGGAGGUCGGCAGUUACUUGGUGCCCAGAAAUUUCACGAAUGCAGUUUGGUUUACAGUGUCCAUGAAAUGAACCAUAAAAAUAUUCGAUAAUCAAUGCAUAUAAACUAUUUCAAUUUACUACACCUGCACUGAUUCAAUAGUUGGAGAAAUGAGUCUGACAUGUUCCCGGUGGAAUUCGGGUCUCCGGCGACCCCAAUCAAUUGCUCUUGACCGAACCAUUAAGGAAUCUUUUGAUUGAUGCAUGAUGGGUCUCCGACAAAACUGAGCCUGCAGAAAACGAAAAUGAUUCAAUGACCGGUUAUUGGUUAAUUCCCAUACGACCAAAGAUAUGAAAUGUUGGAAUUCUUGAACAUAAACUUUACACAAUCGCUUCUGGAAGUUCGUUUGGGUGUAUGGAAUGUAUGAGUUAAACUAAUAUGCAACUUCGAGAUCGUAAAACCAUAAGACGCAAUGUUCUUUCGCUUUCCUAAUACUUGCGUAGGUUCACAUAGUAUUAGGCCUGCAGAGUUGCUAUGAAAGUACACAAAAUUCUUAACUCCAAACUAAAUUAAGCCAAUAAA